GACGAACGCUGGCGGCGUGCUUAACACAUGCAAGUCGAACGGAAAGGCCCUGCUUUUGUGGGGUGCUCGAGUGGCGAACGGGUGAGUAACACGUGAGUAACCUGCCCUUGACUUUGGGAUAACUUCAGGAAACUGGGGCUACUACCGGAUAGGAGCUCCUGCUGCAUGGUGGGGGUUGGAAAGUUUCGGCGGUUGGGGAUGGACUCGCGGCUUAUCAGCUUGUUGGUGGGGUAGUGGCUUACCAAGGCAUUGACGGGUAGCCGGCCUGAGAGGGUGACCGGCCACAUUGGGACUGAGAUACGGCCCAGACUCCUACGGGAGGCAGCAGUGGGGAAUAUUGCACAAUGGGCGGAAGCCUGAUGCAGCAACGCCGCGUGCGGGAUGACGGCCUUCGGGUUGUAAACCGCUUUCGCCUGUGACGAAGCGUGAGUGACGGUAAUGGGUAAAGAAGCACCGGCUAACUACGUG
rnacentral:rRNA from 1 species